CAGCAGCCGCGGUAAUACGUAGGGUGCAAGCGUUAAUCGGAAUUACUGGGCGUAAAGCGUGCGCAGGCGGUUUUGUAAGACAGAGGUGAAAUCCCCGGGCUCAACCUGGGAACUGCCUUUGUGACUGCAAGGCUAGAGUACGGCAGAGGGGGAUGGAAUUCCGCGUGUAGCAGUGAAAUGCGUAGAUAUGCGGAGGAACACCGAUGGCGAAGGCAAUCCCCUGGGCCUGUACUGACGCUCAUGCACGAAAGCGUGGGGAGCAAACAGGAUUAGAUACCGGUAGUCCCUGUCUCUUAUACAC
rnacentral:rRNA from 1 species